ACUGAACGCUGGCGGCAUGCCUUACACAUGCAAGUCGAACGGUAACAGGUCUUCGGAUGCUGACGAGUGGCGAACGGGUGAGUAAUACAUCGGAACGUGCCCGAUCGUGGGGGAUAACGGAGCGAAAGCUUUGCUAAUACCGCAUACGAUCUACGGAUGAAAGCAGGGGACCGCAAGGCCUUGCGCGGACGGAGCGGCCGAUGGCAGAUUAGGUAGUUGGUGGGGUAAAAGCUUACCAAGCCGACGAUCUGUAGCUGGUCUGAGAGGACGACCAGCCACACUGGGACUGAGACACGGCCCAGACUCCUACGGGAGGCAGCAGUGGGGAAUUUUGGACAAUGGGCGAAAGCCUGAUCCAGCCAUGCCGCGUGCAGGAUGAAGGCCUUCGGGUUGUAAACUGCUUUUGUACGGAACGAAAAGCCUCUUUCUAAUAAAGAGAGGUCAUGACGGUACCGUAAGAAUAAGCACCGGCUAACUACGUGCCAGCCGCCGCCGUAACAC
rnacentral:rRNA from 1 species